rnacentral:rRNA from 1 species
CACGUAGGGUGCGAGCGUUGUUCGGAAUUAUUGGGCGUAAAGAGCUCGUAGGCGGUGUGUCGCGUCGGCCGUGAAAACCUGCAGCUUAACUGUGGGCUUGCGGUCGAUACGGGCAUCACUGGAGUUCGGCAGGGGGAGACUGGAAUUCCUGGUGUAGCGGUGAAAUGCGCAGAUAUCAGGAGGAACACCGGUGGCGAAGGCGGGGUCUCUGGGCAUUAACUGACGCUGGAGGAGCGAAAGCAUGGGGAGCGAACAGG